UACGAAGGGGGCUAGCGUUGCUCGGAAUCACUGGGCGUAAAGCGCACGUAGGCGGACUCCUAAGUCAGAGGUGAAAUCCUGGAGCUCAACUCCAGAACUGCCCUUUGAUACUGGGAGCCUUGAGUUCGGGAGAGGUGAGUGGAACUGCGAGUGUAGAGGUGAAAUGCGUAGAUAUCUGGAGGAACACCGGUGGCGAAGGCGGCAUCCUGGACCGGCAUUGACGCUGAGGCGGCGAAAGCUAGGGGAGCAAGCGGG
rnacentral:rRNA from 1 species